rnacentral:rRNA from 1 species
CCUACGGGGGGCUGCAGUGAGGAAUAUUGCGCAAUGGGGGCAACCCUGACGCAGCAACGCCGCGUGGGUGAAGAAGGCCUUCGGGUUGUAAAGCCCUGUCAGGUGGGAAGAAACCUCUGAAGGUGAAUAGUCUUCAGAGCUGACGGUACCACCAAAGGAAGCACCGGCUAACUCCGUGCCAGCAGCCGCGGUAAGACGGAGGGUGCAAGCGUUGUUCGGAAUCACUGGGCGUAAAGCGCGUGUAGGCGGUUUGAUAAGUCGAGUGUGAAAGCCCAAGGCUUAACUUUGGAAGUGCACUCGAAACUGUCAGGCUUGAGUACGGGAGAGGGAAGUGGAAGUCCUGGUGUAGAGGUGAAAUUCGUAGAUAUCAGGAGGAACACCGGUGGCGAAGGCGGCUUCCUGGACCGAUACUGACGCUGAGACGCGAAAGCGUGGGGAGCAAACAGGAUUAGAUACCCUAGUAGUC